GACGAACGCUGGCGGCGUGCUUAACACAUGCAAGUCGAACGGAAAGACCCUGCUUUUGUGGGGUGCUCGAGUGGCGAACGGGUGAGUAACACGUGAGUAACCUGCCCUUGACUUUGGGAUAACUUCAGGAAACUGGGGCUAAUACCGGAUAGGAGCUCCUGCUGCAUGGUGGGGGUUGGAAAGUUUCGGCGGUUGGGGAUGGACUCGCGGCUUAUCAGCUUGUUGGUGGGGUAGUGGCUUACCAAGGCUUUGACGGGUAGCCGGCCUGAGAGGGUGACCGGCCACAUUGGGACUGAGAUACGGCCCAGACUCCUACGGGAGGCAGCAGUGGGGAAUAUUGCACAAUGGGCGGAAGCCUGAUGCAGCAACGCCGCGCGCGGGAUGACGGCCUUCGGGUUGUAAACCGCUUUCGCCUGUGACGAAGCGUGAGUGACGGUAAUGGGUAAAGAAGCACCGGCUAACUACGU
rnacentral:rRNA from 1 species